GACGAACGCUGGCGGCGUGCUUAACACAUGCAAGUCGAACGAAGAGCGAUGGAAGCUUGCUUCUCUCAAUCUUAGUGGCGAACGGGUGAGUAACGCGUAAUCAACCUGCCCUUCAGAGGGGGACAACAGUUGGAAACGACUGCUAAUGCCGCAUACGAUCUGACCUCGGCAUCGAGGAUAGAUGAAAGGUGGCCUCUAUUUAUAAGCUAUCACUGAAGGAGGGGAGUGCGUCUGAUUAGCUAGUUGGAGGGGUAACGGCCCACCAAGGCGAUGAUCAGUAGCCGGUCUGAGAGGAUGAACGGCCACAUUGGGACUGAGACACGGCCCAGACUCCUACGGGAGGCAGCAGUGGGGAAUCUUCCGCAAUAGACGAAAGUCUGACGGAGCAACGCCGCGUGAGUGAUGACGGCCUUCGGGUUGUAAAGCUCUGUUAAUCGGGACGAAAGGCCUUCUUGCGAAUAGUUAGAAGGAUUGACGGUACCGGAAUAGAAAGCCACGGCUAACUACGUG
rnacentral:rRNA from 1 species